rnacentral:rRNA from 1 species
UACGUAGGGGGCAAGCGUUGUCCGGAAUCAUUGGGCGUAAAGCGCGCGUAGGCGGACUGGCAGGUCUGGUGUGAAAGCCCGGGGCUCAACCCCGGAGGGUCACUGGAAACCGACAGUCUUGAGUCCGGAAGAGGAGAGUGGAAUUCCUGGUGUAGCGGUGGAAUGCGCAGAUAUCAGGAGGAACACCUAUGGCGAAGGCAGCUCUCUGGUACGUGACUGACGCUGAGACGCGAAAGCGUGGGGAGCGAACAGG